rnacentral:rRNA from 1 species
CAGAUCUGGAAGCACUGUGAGGUGUGGAGGUGACUGGUACUAAUUUACCGAUAACAACAAACC